rnacentral:rRNA from 1 species
CCUACGGGAGGCAGCAGUGAGGAAUAUUGGUCAAUGGGCGCAAGCCUGAACCAGCCAAGUCGCGUGAGGGAUGACGGUCUUAUGGAUUGUAACCCUCUUUUGUCGGGGAGCAAGGCCCGCCACGUGUGGCGGGAAGGAGAGUACCCGAAGAAAAAGCAUCGGCUAACUCCGUGCCAGCAGCCGCGGUAAUACGGAGGAUGCGUGCGUUAUCCGGAUUUAUUGGGUUAAAGGGGUGCGUAGGCGGAAGGUUAAGUAAGCGGUAAAAUGUCGGUGCUCAACACCGGCCUGCCGUUGAAACUGGUCUUCUAGAGUGAGCGAGAAGUAUGCGGAAUGCGUGGUGUAGCGGUGAAAUGCAUAGAUAUCACGAAGAACACCGAUUGCGAAGGCAGCAUACCGGCGCUCAACUGACGCUGAGGCACGAAAGCGUGGGGAUCGAACAGGAUUAGAUACCCGUGUAGUC